UUUCCUUGCUGGCGACCGGCGCACGGUGAGUAACACGUAUCCAACCUGCCCUUUACUCGGGGAUAGCCUUUCGAAAGAAAGAUUAAUACCCGAUAGCAUAAUGAUUCCGCAUGGUUUCAUUAUUAAAGGAUUCCGGUAAAGGAUGGGGAUGCGUUCCAUUAGGUUGUUGGUGAGGUAACGGCUCACCAAGCCUUCGAUGGAUAGGGGUUCUGAGAGGAAGGUCCCCCACAUUGGAACUGAGACACGGUCCAA
rnacentral:rRNA from 1 species